UACGUAGGGUGCGAGCGUUAAUCGGAAUUACUGGGCGUAAAGCGUGCGCAGGCGGUUUUGUAAGUCAGAUGUGAAAUCCCCGGGCUCAACCUGGGAACUGCAUUUGUGACUGCAUCGCUGGAGUGCGGCAGAGGGGGAUGGAAUUCCGCGUGUAGCAGUGAAAUGCGUAGAUAUGCGGAGGAACACCGAUGGCGAAGGCAAUCCCCUGGGCCUGCACUGACGCUCACGCACGAAAGCGUGGGGAGCAAACAGG
rnacentral:rRNA from 1 species